rnacentral:tRNA from 1 species
GCCAAUGUGGUGUAGUGGUUUGAAUAUUGGACCAUGACUCUGGAGAUCAGGGUUCAAUUCCCUACAGCCA